rnacentral:rRNA from 1 species
UAAGGAAUAUUGGUCAAUGGAGGCAACUCUGAACCAGCCAUGCCGCGUGCAGGAUGACGGCCCUAUGGGUUGUAAACUGCUUUUAUACCAGAGAAAACCCGAGUACGUGUACUCGGUUGAUAGUAUGGUAAGAAUAAGCAUCGGCUAACUUCGUGCCAGCAGCCGCGGUAAGACGAAGGAUGCAAGCGUUAUCCGGAUUCAUUGGGUUUAAAGGGUGCGUAGGCGGACCUGUAAGUCAGUGGUGAAAUCU